rnacentral:rRNA from 1 species
UAGGGUAUUGGCCUAACAUGGCUAUGACGGGUAACGGGGAAUUAGAGUUCGAUUCCGGAGAGGGAGCCUGAGAAAUAGCUACCACAUCUAAGGAAGGCAGCAGGCGCGUAAAUUACCCAAUUCUAAAGAAGAGAGGUAGUGACAAGAAAUAACAAUGCAAGGCCAAUUUUUGGUUUUGUAAUUGGAAUGGUGGGAAUUUAAAACCUUCCCAGAGUAACAAUUGGAGGGCAAGUCUGGUGCCAGCAGCCGCGGUAAUUCCAGCUCCAAUAGCGUAUAUUAAAAUUGUUGCAGUUAAAACGCUCGUAGUUGAAUUUCAAGGAAUCGAUAUUUUAUUGUAACUAUUUUAGGGGUUUUAUUUUUGCUUCUUGCUUAAAUUCUUCCCCUAUUAUUAUGUUCUUUAAAUAACAAAGAUUCUUUUUAAAACCCCUUUUUGCUUUUGCUUUUUGGGGUUUUGUUACUU